rnacentral:rRNA from 1 species
ACAAUGGGCGCAAGCCUGAUCUAGCCAUGCCGCGUGAGUGAUGAAGGCCUUAGGGUCGUAAAGCUCUUUCGCCAGAGAUGAUAAUGACAGUAUCUGGUAAAGAAACCCCGGCUAACUCCGUGCCAGCAGCCGCGGUAAUACGGAGGGGGUUAGCGUUGUUCGGAAUUACUGGGCGUAAAGCGCACGUAGGCGGAUCAGAAAGUUGGGGGUGAAAUCCCAGGGGCUCAACCCUGGAACGGCCUCCAAAAC